rnacentral:rRNA from 1 species
UACAGAGGUCUCAAGCGUUGUUCGGAUUCAUUGGGCGUAAAGGGUGCGUAGGCGGCGCGGUAAGUCGGGUGUGAAAUCUUGGAGCUUAACUCCGAAACUGCAUUCGAUACUGCCGUGCUUGAGGACUGGAGAGGAGACUGGAAUUUACGGUGUAGCGGUGAAAUGCGUAGAUAUCAAGAGGAACACCUGCGGCGAAGGCGGGUUGCUGGGCCGACACUGACGCUGAGGCGCGAAAGCUAGGGGAGCGAACGGG